CCCGACUGCUAUUUGGGUGAGGAUAAACCAUGCGAGUUGUAUGGGAUACCUAAAUUUCCCAUAGCAAACUGCUUAGUAACACAUGAUCAACUUGCCCUAUGGAGAAAUAUAACCUCGGGAAACUGAGGAUAAUGAUUCAUAGUUGAAUAGGCUUGGAAAAGUUUUUCAAUGAAAGGGAUAAGAAAAAUGGUUCUUAUCUGCCAUAGGAUAGGAUCGUGCUCGAUUAUGGUUGUUGGUGAGGUAACGGCUCACCAAGCCGAUAAUCGAUAGGGGCCGUGAGAGCGGAGCCCAAGAUGGGUACUGAGACAGCGACCCAGGCCUUACGAGGCGCAGCAGGUACGAAACCUCCGCAAUACACGAAAGUUGACGGGGUUACCCAAAGUGUUCUUAUUGAACUGUGGCAGGUGAGUAAUGUCCCCUGCUAGAAGAGAGGGCAAGGCUGGUGCCAGCCGCCGCGGUAAAACCAGCUCUUCAAGUGGUCGGGAUAUUAUUGGGCUAAAGUGUCCGUAGCGGUUUAGUAAGUCCUGGUAAAAUCAGGUAGCUUACUAUCUGCAUGCUAGGAUACUGCUUUACUAGAGGGCGGGAGAGUCUGAGGUACUACGGGGGUAGGGGUGAAAUCUUAUAAUCCUUGUAGGGACCACCAGUGGCGAAGGCGUCAGACUGGAACGCCGCCUGACGGUGAGGGCCGAAAGCCAGGGGAGCGAACCGGAUUAGAUACCCCGGGUAGUCCUGGCCGUAAACGAUGCAUACUAGGUGAUGGUACGGCCAUGAGCCGUGUCAGUGCCGUAGGGAAACCGUUAAGUGUGCCGCCUGGGAAGUACGGUCGCAAGGCUAAAACUUAAAGGAAUUGGCGGGGGAGCACACAAGGGGUGAAACCUGCGGUUC
rnacentral:rRNA from 1 species